UGGGUUGUGGCUUAGCGGUAAAGCGCUUGCCUAGCAUGUGCGAGGCGCUGGGUUCGAUCCUCAGCAUCACAU
rfam:Ictidomys tridecemlineatus contig099103, whole genome shotgun sequence.